rnacentral:misc_RNA from 1 species
GAUGAAGAACGUAGCGAAAUGCGAUAAGUAGUGUGAAUUGCAGAAUUCAGUGAAUCAUCGAAUCUUUGAACGCACAUUGCGCCCCUUGGUAUUCCAUGGGGCAUGCCUGUUCGAGCGUCAUUUGUACCUUCAAGCUUUGCUUGGUGUUGGGUGUUUGUCCUGAGGGACUCGCCUUAAAGUAAUUGGCAGCCAGUGUUUGGUUUUGAAGCGCAGCACAAGUCGCGAUUCAAGGCUAUACACCAGCUUCCACAAGCCUUUUUCACUUUUGACCUCGGAUCAGGUAGGGAUACCCGCUGAACUUAAGCAUAUCAAUAAGCGGAAGA